rnacentral:lncRNA from 1 species
AUGAGAGGAGAGGAGAACACUCCCCCUCUCUCGCCCCUCCUUUACAAGAGAGAAGAGAAGAACAGAACACUCCCUCCUCUCUCCCCUCCUUUACAAGAGAGAAGAGAAGAACGGAACACUCCCUCUCUCUCUCCCCUCCUUUACAAGAGAGAAGAACAGAACACUCCCCCUCUCUCUCCCCUCCUUUACAAGAGAGAAGAGAAGAAUGGAACACUCCCUCCUCUCUCCCCUCCUUUACCAGAGAGAAGAGAAGAAUGGAACACUCCUCCUCUCUCUCCCCUCCUUUACAAGAGAGAAGAGAAGAAUGGAACAUUCCUCCUCUCUCUCCCCUCCUUUACAAGAGAGAAGAGAAGAAUGGAACACUCCCCCUCUCUCUCCCCCCCUUUAGAAGAGAGAAGAACGGAACACUCCCCCUCUCUCUCCCCUCCUUUACCAGAGAGAAGAGAAGAAUGGAACACUCCUCCUCUCUCUCCCCUCCUUUACAAGAGAGAAGAGAAGAACGGAACACUCCCUCCUCUCUCCCCUCCUUUACAAGAGAGAAGAGAAGAAUGGAACACUCCCCCUCUCUCUCCCCUCCUUUAUGCGAGUGAAGAACGGAACACUCCCUCCUCUCUCCCCUCCUUUACAAGAGAGAAGAGAAGAAUGGAACACUCCCCCUCUCUCUCCCCUCCUUUAUGCGAGAGAAGAACGGAACACUCCUCCUCUCUCUCCCCUCCUUUACAAGAGAGAAGAGAAGAACGGAACACUCCCUCCUCUCUCCCCUCCUUUACAAGAGAGAAGAGAAGAAUGGAACACUCCCUCCUCUCUCCCCUCCUUUACAAGAGAGAAGAGAAGAACGGAACACUCCCCCUCUCUCUCCUCCUUUACAAGAGAGAAGAGAAGAACAGAACACUCCCCCUCUCUCUCUCCUCCUUUACAAGAGAGAAGAGAAGAACAGAACACUCCCCCUCUCUCUCCCCUCCUUUACAAGAGAGAAGAGAAGAAUGGAACACUCCCCCCCUCUCUCCCCUCCUUUACAAGAGAGAAGAGAAGAACAGAACACUGCCCCUCUCAAUCCCCUCCUUUACAAGAGAGAAGAGAAGAACACUCCCCCUCUCUCUCCCCUCCUUUACUAGAGAGAAGAGAAGAACAGAACACUCCCCCUCUCUCUCCCCUCCUUUACAAGAGAGAAGAGAAGAAUGGAACACUCCCCCCCUCUCUCCCCUCCUUUACAAGAGAGAAGAGAAGAACAGAACACUCCCCCUCUCAAUCCCCUCCUUUACAAGAGAGAAGAGAAGAACACUCCCCCCUCUCUCUCCCCUCCUUUACAAGAGAGAAGAGAAGAGAAGAACACUCCCCCUCUCUCUCCUCUCCUCUAUGAGACAAGAGGAGCUAAACAGAAGCAGGAUUUGGGAACAGGGUUCAUGUAUGUUAUGUUAG